rnacentral:rRNA from 1 species
GAUGAACGCUGGCGGCGUGCCUAAUACAUGCAAGUCGAGCGAACAGACGAGGAGCUUGCUCCUCUGACGUUAUCGGCGGACGGGUGAGUAACACGUGGAUAACCUACCUAUAAGACUGGGAUAACUUCGGGAAACCGGAGCUAAUACCGGAUAAUAUAUUGACCCGCAUGGUUCAAUAGUUAAAUACGGUUUUGCUUUCACUUAUAGAUUGAUCCGCGCCGCAUUAGCUAGUUGGUAAGGUAACGGCUUACCAAGGCAACGAUGCGUAGCCGACCUGAGAGGGUGAUCGGCCACACUGGAACUGAGACACGGUCCAGACUCCUACGGGAGGCAGCAGUAGGGAAUCUUCCGCAAUGGGCGAAAGCCUGACGGAGCAACGCCGCGUGAGUGAUGAAGGUCUUCGGAUCGUAAAACUCUGUUAUUAGGGAAGAACAAAUGUGUAAGUAACUAUGCACGUCUUGACGGUACCUAAUCAGAAAGCCACGGCUAACUACGUG